CCGGCGUGCGGGUGAGGUGGUGGCGACGGCCCCGUGCGCCGCUUCCUGGGUCCUAGGUGCUUGGCUCUCCAGGGUCAGAAUCCCGCUGAUCUAGGUUCAGGACCUCAAUUUCUCUAGACAUUCCACAGCAACACUUGAACGGCUGAACAAAUACAGUCUGGAUUCCUGAGACCAAAAGGCUCGGGAGAACCCGCUGAAAACCCGUUAUACUGGAACAGCUGCUCUCUGCCAGAACAUAAUCAAAGGGCUGCUAACCUGGACCUGGAAGACCACUUCAGGAACCACUUCCCUCAUUUUAAGGCCACUUCAACUUCUCUGUGCCUCAGUUUCCCUGGCUGUAAAAGGAGUGUCGGGGUCUCAUCCAUCUCAGAGGCCAGAGGGUCUCCACCCUGGCUGUGCCCAAGAAUCGGCUGGCAGGUGUGGAGUGGUCCGUCACCGAGAAGAAGCCUCACUACUGCCACCUUACGGAGGAGACUGGUGACGGGGAAGCCGGGAUUUCAGCAGAGCUGUUCCAUUGUUCCGUUUCCCCAGAGCGUUUCUCUGCGCAGCUCAACUCCUUCAACGACACAGUGACCUUGAGGAGCCGCCGCGCAAGGGGAAGCGUCCCCAGCUCCACCACCAGUUUUGCUGUCACUAAGAAUCCACUGUGCUGUAACUCCAACUAAUUAUUUCUCUGUAAAUGACUUGCUUUUUAUUUACCUAAAUUGCGAUAGAAAAACAUC